ensembl:lncRNA
CUCUAGUUAUGCUUCGACCUUCUAGAUGGGAUGCAGCCAGUCCCCAAAUCAAGAUGGUCUCCUUCCACCUGACAGCAAGGCAUUCUGCAGCGAACAGGGCGUCGAACGACGCGAAGAGGGAAGAGGAAGACAAGUCUCUGAGGCAGCACUUCUGACUUAAAAUGGUAUCUGGUUUCGAGUUCCCGGACCACUCUAAGGAAGAAACGGCCAGAAAGUGACGUGAUUGAGGAUGCCCUUAAAAAUGUAAACGCCCCACCCAGCUUUAGUUAAAGAAUACUGGUCCGUUGGCUGUUAAACCAGACGUGCUGAAAGCUGUUUCCUCAUCCCCUCCCCCUGGGUUCUGUGUGGCUUUUGUGAUCGCAGCUGAGCUCUGAUUGGACAAGCUCAUUUUACCUGCGUGGCACAUCCUGCAACUGACACAUGAGCUCACCUGAACAUGAUAAAAAUAGAGUUACCAACACCCUACACUCUGCCCCUCCUCUUCCCAUUGCCUGGUUCUGCUUAUAUAUCUUCCUAAAUAUUGUAGAUCAUAUUUAUCCUGACAGCAUAGACAUUUAUGUGUAGUUCAGUGCCUGAGUGGAGCAAACACUCCACAACAAAGGAAUGAGACUUUGGUAAAGUAACACUAAAACUGACUAAGUCAGAUAUUGGAACUAAUCCGUAGCCUAUAUUUAAUAGUUUAGGUGGCUUUGCUUUUUAUCAGGAUUAAAAAAAACAACAGAAAGUACACAAAUACAUUGUCUAACAUUGUAACAAUGUCUAACAAUGUCUAACAUAGUGUUUUACAACAUACUGUUUGGUUAAGGUGGAAGACUCAAAUAUUAAACCACGCCCAUAUUUGCACAUCUGAGGGAGUUUUUUAUUUAUUUUUUAUUUAGUGUCACACAUGCAUGAAACUGAGUUAUGUUUGUUGUUCAUGGCUUUUUUGUAUUUUUAUAAGUACGCAUUACAAAGUCACGUCAUUUAGCUUCAUAAAGAGGCAGUACUUUAGGCUUUAGGCUUUUCAUCUCUCCUUUUGUUCUCCUGUUUUCCCUUCCGUUCUUUCAAACUUCAUUGUAACUAUAACUUGGAUCACUGCAACAGAUGGUUUUAUUGCUAUCCAGUCACAGCUCACACUGUAUUUCAUUCCUGUUUUUCUUUCAAGUACAAUAAAUUCAGCCCAGUCUACGAUAUAUCUAUCUAAAGCCUGUUAAUUGGCGUCUUACCAGACAUGGUUAGAUCUGAUUAUUAGUGUCUAAUACUGUCUGGUAAUGCCGUCCAUUACAUGGCAUUAGCGUCCAGAUGACAAAGAAAGGAAAGGAUGCUCCAAGGAUGUCAUUUGCAUUUGUACUAUUCAUGCAGUAUGAUAUCUUAGUGUUUUGGGGUUUUUUUUUUUAUUUCUUUGUGAAGGAAGUAAUACGAAUGAAUCACUUACAGAAUGCUCUGAAUCAUUUUGCCAGGUUAGUCAGGUCUUUAAAAUAGAACAGACCAAGUCGCUGGUUUAACCUGUACGAGGAACUAUGAACCCAACACUGGAAGACUGAUGCCAUUUACAAUGCUCUUCCAUGUGUCAUGAGUCAGAGUUUCUUUCCUCCUCUUCAAGAGAGCUGUGAGUCAUGUUUGUCAUCCAUCAUCCCCUGUUCAUACAGUAUAUGUGCUGAGAGUUGUGUGAUGUACCUUUCACAGUAUAAUUAUAUAGUGUGUAACCUUUGUAUGAAACAGCGGUUCGAUAAAUAUGAAUGUCAUGGUUGUUGCAUCAAAAAAGAAGCAUGUUAAUUGUUUGAAGAAGACUCGGCAGCAUGUUCUCAUAGUGUUGUCAUGGUAACUGAAUUCUACAUGGGUACCAGAUCCACAAAAAUAUGAUGACUACUCUUUAUCCAACCAAAAUGACUGUCUCCUCUCCUCUGCUGUUGGUUUAAUUUGUUCAGUUUUGGAUGCAUGUUAUGUAUUGUGCUGAAAAACAG